CUGGCGGCAUGCCUAACACAUGCAAGUCGAACGAGACCUUCGGGUCUAGUGGCGCACGGGUGCGUAACGCGUGGGAAUCUGCCCUUUGCUUCGGAAUAACAGUUAGAAAUGACUGCUAAUACCGGAUGAUGUCUUCGGACCAAAGAUUUAUCGGCAAAGGAUAAGCCCGCGUAGGAUUAGGUAGUUGGUGGGGUAAAGGCCUACCAAGCCGACGAUCCUUAGCUGGUCUGAGAGGAUGAUCAGCCACACUGGGACUGAGACACGGCCCAGACUCCUACGGGAGGCAGCAGUGGGGAAUAUUGGACAAUGGGCGCAAGCCUGAUCCAGCAAUGCCGCGUGAGUGAUGAAGGCCUUCGGGUCGUAAAGCUCUUUUACCAGGGAUGAUAAUGACAGUACCUGGAGAAUAAGCUCCGGCUAACUCCGUG
rnacentral:rRNA from 1 species